rnacentral:misc_RNA from 1 species
AAGUCGUAACAAGGUUUCCGUAGGUGAACCUGCGGAAGGAUCAUUAAAAAUCAAUUUGACAUGACAUGUUGAACGUGUGCGUGCACACACUGAAAUAACGAGUGCAAUAAAAUGGAAUGAAAGAAACGAACGAUAUAUUUUUACUUUUAACAAUGGAUCUCUAGGCUCUU